rnacentral:rRNA from 1 species
AAUCUUGCGCAAUGGGCGAAAGCCUGACGCAGCAACGCCGCGUGAGUGAUGAAGGUCUUCGGAUCGUAAAGCUCUUUCGGCCGGGACGAAAACGACGUGGCUAAUAUCCACGUCCUCUACGGUACCGGAAGAAGAAGCACCGGCUAACUCUGUGCCAGCAGCCGCGGUGAUACAGAGGGUGCAAGCGUUGUUCGGAAUUAUUGGGCGUAAAGCGCAUGUAGGCGGUGACGUAUGUCGGGUGUGAAAGCCCUCGGCUCAACCGAGGAAGUGCGCUCGAAACUGCGUCGCUAGAGUGUCGGAGAGGGUGGCGGAAUUCCCGGUGUAGAGGUGAAAUUCGUAGAUAUCGGGAGGAACACCAGUGGCGAAGGCGGCCACCUGGACGAACACUGACGCUGAGAUGCGAAAGCGUGGGUAGCAAACA